UGGUGUCGUAAGUCGCUACCGCCCGGUCGUAGGUCACGUGACGGUGUUUCCCCUCCCUCUGACCCCCUGCCUCCAGGUUCUGAGAAGAUGGCGAAGGUCUCAGAGCUUUACGAUGUCACUUGGGAAGAGAUGCGAGAUAAAAUGAGAAAAUGGAGAGAAGAAAACUCACGAAAUAGCGAGCAAAUUGUGGAAGUUGGAGAGGAAUUAAUUAAUGAAUAUGCUUCUAAGCUUGGAGAUGAUAUUUGGAUCAUAUAUGAACAAGUAAUGAUUGCAGCCCUAGACUAUGGUCGAGAUGACUUGGCAUUGUUUUGUCUUCAGGAGUUGAGAAGACAGUUCCCUGGCAGUCAUAGAGUCAAGAGACUAACUGGGAUGAGAUUUGAAGCCAUGGAAAGAUACGAUGAUGCUAUACAACUGUAUGAUCGAAUUUUACAAGAAGAUCCAACUAACACUGCUGCAAGAAAGCGUAAGAUUGCCAUUCGAAAAGCCCAGGGGAAAAAUGUGGAGGCCAUUCGGGAACUGAAUGAGUAUCUGGAACAAUUUGUUGGAGACCAAGAAGCCUGGCAUGAACUUGCAGAACUUUAUAUCAAUGAACAUGACUAUGCUAAGGCAGCCUUUUGCUUAGAAGAGCUAAUGAUGACUAAUCCACACAACCACUUAUACUGUCAGCAGUAUGCUGAAGUUAAAUAUACUCAAGGUGGACUUGAAAACCUCGAACUUUCACGAAAGUAUUUUGCACAGGCAUUGAAACUGAACAACAGAAAUAUGAGAGCUUUGUUUGGGCUUUACAUGUCGGCAAGUCAUAUUGCUUCUAAUCCAAAAGCAAGUGCAAAAACAAAAAAGGACAACAUGAAAUAUGCUAGUUGGGCAGCUAGUCAAAUAAACAGAGCUUAUCAGUUUGCAGGUCGAAGUAAGAAGGAAACCAAAUACUCUCUUAAGGCAGUCGAAGACAUGUUGGAAACGCUGCAGAUCACUCAGUCUUAAGCUUGAAGAACUCCUUUCAGCUUUUCAUAGAAGGCAGUUUUGGUGGUGAUGAAUCCCUGAAGCUUUUGUUUGUUGGGAAAGGUGUUUAUUUAGCCUUCAUUUCUGAAGGACAACUUUACCAGGCAAUUCCUGAAUCUUCAUUUCUUUGACAUCAUUUAUGGGAAAUUUACUGUGUUCCUUUGAUGGUGUCAUGUUGCCGUGAUUCUUCAUGAUUCCAGUAGUCUUGCAUACGUGUCUGUACGUUUGAGGAAGGAGUCACCUCUUCCAGACUUUAUGGACUGACUUUGGUAAGGAAAGACCUUCACCUGUGUUGGGGGACCAUGCUGGAAUGUGAUGUGGGAUCUAUUGGUUUGGGGCACCAAAUGCAGGUAUGUGUGGUGGCUCUGAGCCCUGUGGGGCAUGCUUUCUCAAUGGCUUAGCCUGCUAGAGCCCAUAACAACCGUGUGAUUCUUGAUGAACAAUGUGGGGAAUCUACAAAGGCUGCAAAGGCUUCUGGUUCCUCAGCAGCACUCUCAGCUCUAGUGGCUAGGGACUGGAGCAGAUAGUGGUAGUAGUUAGAGCUAGUGGUGUACCCACAUUUGGCUCUGAGGGUCAACUGCAGGCUCUAGUGUAGUGACAGGGGCUGGUUGCAGACACAUGCACAGUGUCCGGGGCCAGGGGAAACCGCAAAGGCCAAGGACAAAUGUGGAUGCACUGGCAGUUGUGGGGCCCCUGGCUGUCAAAGGGAACUCCUGUGACUGUAGGUUCUUGACUGUUGUGUGUGCAUUGCAGUGGAGGCUGGUGAUGGGAGUCAGGCUGGAAGUGUGCAGGUGCACAGCUGGAAGAGCCAGCCCUGAGUGUUUGCAUGGUUAUGGGGAUCAGCCAUGGUGGUCUAGGUUGGCAUCUUGGAAUCACGCAGCAGUAGAGGCCACAGCAGGGUACUGGUGUGGGUCCCAGGCUCUAGUAGGGAGGGAAUGGGAAAGUGGAGAGAAGAACUCAGGUAUCUGGCUUCUGUGAACAUGAAAACCUGUGGGGUGAAAACCAGUGAAAUCUGCAGGGAGUGUGUGUGGCUGUGCUGGUUUCCUCAGUUGCAAAAACUCCUGAGGUCCUUUGCAGAGGAGGUCACUAGGAACCAUGGUCACUCCCACUGUGCGGCCGAUAUUGCUAGCCCCUGCCCUUCUUCCUUUUUCCUAGCCAUAGCUGUACAUUUCAGCUCUGCUCGUGUCUAGGUGGGUGAAGCUGAAGUGGAUUCUUCGUGCAGUGCCCUGAAAGGCUGCAGAAGCUGAUCACUCACCCUGUUCUCCCUUUCCCAGUGAGGGGAACUUUUUCUUGCUGGUGAGUUCCCUGGUAGCAAGGAGCAGUGCCAGCCUGAGGAGAUGAGGCUGGCCAAAUGAAGAUCUUCUUUCUCUCCUUUUUGUGUAGUUAUUCUCAAGUUUUUCCUUCUACUGUGUUGUUCAAUUUCUUAAGUGAACUUCUGAUCUUUCCCAGAGCUGAUUUUUUUCAUAGACAGCUGACUAUUGUUGAUCUUUGUGGGGAGAUGGAAUCUGGGGUCUCCUACUGUGCCAUCUUGGUGAUGUCACUUUUCAACCCUGACAUUUCAUAGUGAAUAUGAUGAGGAAAGAUUUUAUAAAAUUCAACACAAAAUAUUUUGGACUUAAAACCAAAGCUUUGGGAGAGAUCAUGAACCUCUGUCUUAUCUCAACUCUAUUUUCUAGUUUUGUAUCUGUUGAUAUGCAAUGCUUGGAAUUUUUGCUUUGGGAAGUUCAGAAUUUAGAGAAAUUGUUGAGCAAAUGAUGUUUCUUACAAGAUCUCACAAAGGACAAGAUUUUAUGAUGAAAUACUGCUUUGAUUUUUUAGUGUCCUAUAUAAGUGAUUUCUACAAACUGUCAGAAAAAUUUCUGCAGAGUUGAGGUCUAGUCUUCAAUUUCCUUUCCCUAUAGCAUCUGACAUAUAUUGUUGCCACAGUGGAUGCUUAUAAAUAUUUGCCAAUUUCAUAUUUUGUCUCCAAGCCAACUGAUGUUGGUGAAGAGUGUCACACAGUUGCUAAAGUUUAACAUUCAAAUUAAGUUAUCAGACUAUGAAUUUAAUUAGUAGUGUAGUGUUUUUUUUUUUUUUAACUGAGUAUGGUGAAUUUUACUUAAGGCACAGCUGGACCUCCUUGAUAGCAGUUAUGUAUUAAAAACUGCAGAAUGAAAGGUUUAUAAAAAUUUCUC